AACGGUAGCUAAUACCGCAUAACGUCGCAAGACCAAAGAGGGGGACCUUCGGGCCUCUUGCCAUCGGAUGUGCCCAGAUGGGAUUAGCUAGUAGGUGGGGUAACGGCUCACCUAGGCGACGAUCCCUAGCUGGUCUGAGAGGAUGACCAGCCACACUGGAACUGAGACACGGUCCAGACUCCUACGGGAGGCAGCAGUGGGGAAUAUUGCACAAUGGGCGCAAGCCUGAUGCAGCCAUGCCGCGUGUAUGAAGAAGGCCUUCGGGUUGUAAAGUCUUUCAGCGAGGAGGAAGGGGAUGUGGUUAAUAACCGCAUUCAUUGACGUUACUCGCAGAAGAAGCACCGGCUAACUCCGUGCCAGCAGCCGCGGUAAUACGGAGGGUGCAAGCGUUAAUCGGAAUUACUGGGCGUAAAGCGCACGCAGGCGGUCUGUCAAGUCGGAUGUGAAAUCCCCGGGCUCAACCUGGGAACUGCAUCCGAAACUGGCAGGCUAGAGUCUUGUAGAGGGGGGUAGAAUUCCAGGUGUAGCGGUGAAAUGCGUAGAGAUCUGGAGGAAUACCGGUGGCGAAGGCGGCCCCCUGGACAAAGACUGACGCU
rnacentral:rRNA from 1 species